rnacentral:lncRNA from 1 species
CUCAGUAAGAUAUAUAAGAUCAAAGUGGACAUGCAUACAUAUGUAAAAAGCAUAGUUAAGAGGCGAAAUUGAAUAAUCCAACCAACUCAUUUAUAAAAGCAACAUAACAUAUGUUACAACAUAUAUAUUACAACAAAGCAUAUAAAGAUGAAAGAUAAGUCUAAGCUCAUGAUACAUCAAAAUUCCAAUUUCUCCCUCUUAUGUAAUCAACAAAUACAGGUUUGAAAGAUGGAAAAUGAUAAACUAUCAUUAUCAUUUAUGGCUGCUGAGGUGGAUCUUCAUUUCGUGGUGAUUUUGGAUGUGGAUGUUAAGGUUGAUCAUGUUCAACUUGUUCGAAGGUUGCUGGUAUAGAGGUAGGUGCAGCUUGAACAAAGGGUUGUUGGAUGACAAUAGGUUGCAAGUAUUGAUUUGCAAUUGAUCCAAGUAGGUUGGAUGUGGAUUCCUGGAUUUGUUGUGGCAGAAGCUUAGACAAGUUCAUGAAUUGUUGAGUAAUGGAGGCUUCCAUGGCUUGUUCAAUGAAUACUCUCAGAGGUCAACUUGGAGUUUUUCAUCAUGUCUCUGGAGUGUUACACUCCAUUUUUCGUAAAUAAAUUAAAAAUGAUUUUUAUUUAAAAAUAAAUAGAGUUUUAGAAAAAUGAUGAGUUUUUAUAAUUAAAUAAAUAAGGAAAAAUAACUUUAUUAAUUAAAUAAUGGUUUGAAGGAAAAUAAAAAAGAUAUUUUAUUUAUUCAUUUGAUAGGAAAUAAGAUAAAGUUUUUUUUAUAAAAUAAUAAAAAUAAAGAAAAAUAGAGUAAAUAAUAGGUUGAGAGUAUCCUGGUUAUAAAUAGAGACAUACUAGGUCAGUUUCCAAAUUGACGAUACGUCUCUAUGCUUUUUCUUCCUCUCAAAUCCGUUUUCCCUUCUUCCUUUCCCAAAACCCUCUCUUUUUCCCGUAUACACUUAAAUCUGUUUCAGUAAAACGAUGAUCCUAGACACGUUAACCGUUGGAUCAUCGUGAAAUUUGAACAAGUGGUUCAAAACUUAUUUCCGCACAUACUCACUAUUAGGAGUUUUGUGAUAAUAUUUGUGGUGGAAUAAAUAUCCCUCGCACUAAGCUUUCUCUUUUCCCGCAUACACCCAAACCUGUCCCAGUAAAACUAUGAUCUCGGAUUUCAACAGUUGGAUUAUUGUGAAAUUUGGACACUGCCUUUGAAACCCAUUUUCACAUCUUUUCACCAUUGGAAUUUGUGAAAUAAUGUUUUUGAAGAGAGAAAUUAGUCUCGCACGUUGACAGUGAAAUGGAAGCUACAAUAUUUUCUCCUUCUCUCUAACGCUUGGAAACCUAACAGAGCAAACAAAGGAAAAACUUGAGGAAUCUUAGGGAACAACUAUAGACACCGCUAUCACUUCCCGGACUAUACACGUGAGCCCGCUUAGAGGUAAGGGAUGAGUUAUUCACAAUUGGGGAGUAGUAAGAACAUGUGUAGGGAUCCUUAGAGGAUCAAAUUGAGAUUUAUUUUGGGAUGCUUAUUUUAUUGUAAUUCUUCCUAUAUGAUUAUGUGAAAUUGUUUGAGGGAUUUUACUCCCCAUGUUGUGAGAAGCAUUUUCGUAUAAUUUGUUUGUAUUUUGGACAAAAUUAUUAUAUUAGCGUAAUAAAAUAUUAUAUUGAGAUCAUGAAAUUGUGAUUGAAAUUGUGUAUAAGUGAUAAAUUGAAU